GUUCUGACCGACCAUAACUGGAUUCAGCAAAGCGGGGAGCACUAACCUGCACAGAAGACGCGAAACUUCUAUUUCAAGAAAUGGGUGAUAUGGACCAAAGCAGCAUAAGUGAUGCCAUCACAAAGGUGUUGCCAGACCUUGCACCUUCAGUUCUUGAUAUUGUUGUGGAGACACUACAGUCAAUGGGUGUAGAAACCACUGAAGAUUUUGACUAUAUCCAGGAGACUGAUUUGCUGUCAGUUCUUAGACCGAUACAAGCAAGAAAAUUGGUGGCUGCAUGGAAAAAAAACUCACAAAGUACUGAAAUUCACAUCCAGUCACCAUUAUCCUCUCCUGCCUCAUCAGCAAGCUCCUCGAUCUCUCUCUCACCUUUGCCCAGCCGACUGCAUACUGUUUCAGAUUGGGUUGACAGUUUCCAGAUUCCAUGGAAUCACUUUCCAGAAGCUUUGAUGCAGUGUUUGGAGAGGGGGAAGAGGCCAGCACCAAAGUUAAGAAGAGAAAUGAUCCGUAUUGUUGCAUCUGAAAUGAUGCGUGCAAGUGCAUCUCCCAGUAAACAAGCUUCAACUGAAGUAGCCAAAAAACUGAUUGCCAAGUAUCCACAAUCACUGCAAGAUGUUAUAGAAGGUGAUGUGGUGUGAUCAGGAUAUCAUUCACUGGUCAAGCAGUUACAAGCAAGAAUAGAAAAUGUUAAGCGGUCUUCAACACCUACAAUAAAGAAGCGCAAGCAGUGUUCAGAUGAAUAUGAAACAGAUGAAGUCCCAGCUGAAAAAAGAGUUGCUGUUCAGGACACAUAUGGUUGCGUUAAGUGGGACAUGAAAUUCAUGCCAGUGACUGAGACAGCAGAAAGUCAAAAGGUGAAAAAAGAAAAAUUGAAGAAGCUUCAAGAGACCAAUGUCAGCCUAGAUGAGGUAGAAAAUCUAAUGAAGCAAACUUACUAUUCUCAGCGAAAGGAUAUAAACAAAGGAGAAGACAUGUAAUUCCUGUUGGAGGAAUGGCCUUUCUUGUUCCAGGAGGUCGGAAUGGCAGUUCACUUCCACAAGCUCACUGGGGUGUCACUGAAAGAGACCUUCCUUAACAGUCUGGAGAAAAAGGGAAAACGGCUGCUGGACUUUAUGCGAAACACUUGUGCUGAUAAGAGCAAAAGAGUUUUGCAGGCUGUCACAAAACUAAAAAUACUCAGAGGACAGUUGGAAGGCUGCUCAGAGGAUAUGAAGGAUAUGGUCCUCCUUCUGCUGUCCUAUUUUGAUGAAAAGGAGGAGAAUCUAUUCCAUCAUGUUGAAGAAACAUGUCUGGGACAUGAGGUUCAAGGGGAAACCCUGCCAGUAACUCCAUGUAUCAUUGUGUGUGGAUCUUCUUGCUAUUCUUCAAGCCGAUUCAUGCUUGCUGUAGACCAUAAAGUUGUAAAUGACAAUAUUCCCACCUUCAUUUCUGCCAUCUGUUUAUUGUUUGCAAGUUACUACUGCCUCAAUAUUCACUAUCCUGUGGAUCUUUGCUCAACACUCGAAUUUCUUCAGAGGUGCUUCUUCAACAUCAAUCCAGAAAAGGGCACAAAGGUGGAAAAAAAGAACAACAAGAAGCAACUCUCUGUGAAUCCCAGAGUCCUCACCCUUAUUGCAGAUCUCUCGGAUCACGAGUGGCGAGAGACAUUUUAAAGAUGGACUUAUCGCAUUGCUGUUAAAUCUCAGCUAUGUUUACUCUAACAUAGCAUACACGCACUCGCAGGCACACACACACACAUACAUGCACUUGCAGGCACACACACGCGCACACACACACACACACACACACACAUACAUGCACUCGCAGGUACACACAUACAUGCACACACGUACCCACUGACAUUGAAAGUAGGUGUGUUUUUAUAAGAACAGUCAUUUAAUUUUGUUCAGAGCUGGAUUUCAACUGUCUUCAGAAUUGGUUUCAACUGUUAUAAGUUUUGGGCAUUUUUUACACUAAUGUUUAAAGGACAAAUAACAUACUGAUUAUUAGGAAAAUUGCUAGAUUUUGAGGCAAUGGCAACAAUUCUUAUAGGUUGGGUUUACUAAACUUGAAAUUGGUCUGUGUUUCUAAUUUUUGUGGACUGUAUAAUAGUUACUGGCAAGGUCAACAGAAACGUUUUUGUAAUUUUCUGUUAUUUGUGUUUGACGCUGCUAUAAGUUAUGUCCAAAAAACAUUGAGAAAAGAUUCAUUGUAAUAGUCUAAAAAUGUGAAACUAUAUAGAAGUAUAGAUUUUAUCAGCAAUUCAAGUUUGUUGUUUCUUCCAGAAAACAGGAUAUUUUUUGCUUUACAUAUUUAUUUUUAAUUUGUAAAGGAAAAAAAAACUUGAAUUCAGAUUUUUUUUUUUAUUUUUCAUUAAAAUGAUUCUUGGCAUAAGUCAAGUUGACAAUUUUGGCAAUGACCACAUUUUAAUUUAUUUGGUUCUUUUGGUCACUCUUUCAUUUGAAUUGAUCUAUAAUAAUUGUAUGGCAAAAAGUAGCUGAGUUAUUAAACAUCACAGCUAACAUGUUAAAAUAAAGAAUCAUUGCAAGAGUGUUUGAGCCUGAUCCUUCAGAGUUCAUUUAAAGCUAGUAUUAUUCCUAAGAUAGAAGGAUCUUCUUUUGAAGGUGAGUAACAUAAACAAAAUUCUCUACUAAUGUUUACAGUCUAAUAGUUUGUAGAUAAUGCUUUUGUUCAUGCAAAAAUGUUUUGAAGACAAGUAAUAAUUUGGUUUUUUUCACUCCCUACAUCUUUUAGGCAUGACUGUCAAGAAGGAGAAUGGACUUGGUGGGCUUGCUACAACCAGAAAAAUGACAGAAAAGCUGAAAUGACUGGGGGUGGCCUUGCAGAUAUAGGCCUUUACAAGGAUCACACCGUGGCAUUUUUGAAUACUCUAUAAGGUGCAAGGAAACGAAUGCUAAUCUACACCGAGCAUCUGAAGAACAACUUGCAAGUCCUUAAGCACAUUGGAUCCAAAACCUGUUCCAGUUUCUCGGACACUAUCUGAGACUGUUUUCCAUACUGAAUGCUCUCCACUGUCAAUUCUGGAUAAAGACUCUUUACACUAGAUCAACCACUGCAAGUAUCAAGUGUUUUAAAGUCUAUUGGACUAUGUUUAUUAUGUACUUUUUCGUAUUUGUUCUGUUUUGUAAGCUUCAAGCUUAAAAUUAACAGGUUAUUGUGUAAGUUUAAUAUUAUUAAGUGAUGUGCCUAUUUUAAUCAUUAAUUCCAUUACAAAAUGUAAAAGUUGACAUUUUAUCAUUGUUUUUAUUGUUUUUUUAUUGAUUCUUAUGGCAAAUUAUAACCAAACAUAGUUAGUGAUUGUUAAUUUUAUGCCAAUCAACCCUGUUACGUUUAUUACCUCGUUUGUUAGGCCUAAUUUUUUGAAGUGAAAUUCUGGCAACCACAGCUGCCAGGAAUUUACUGUAAAUUUGAACUUUUAAAUAAA